CAGACUAUUUCUUUGAUGACCAGAAGCCUUCUUCAAGUGGUGGAGAACAUGGAAAAUAUGAAAAAGCAGGUCUUACUUACUCAGUAGGGAGAAGAGUUAUAAUCUGCAAUUGCUUCAAAGAAGCGGGGAAGAGCUACAUGUGACAGCAGCUGCCAUUUUUUGAGGACAUGUUCCAUCCUGCCAGAUGUCUUUUUCACAUAACAGUAUAUUUUCUUCAUCACCACGACAACGCACUUCACUCCAGUAAACCGGAAUAAGGCCCAGUCCAGAAAAUGAUUUACAGGAUUUACACAAUGCUUUAUGAAGGGUGGUAGGAUACAUAACAGACCUUUGUUCAUCUUGCAAGAAAAUACUAUAAAGAACCAGUUUCUCUCAUACAGAAAACACACAAGAUGAUGUUAAAGGUGUUGCAACAUGGGAUAGUGCCACAGAAAGGCCCUGCGCUGAUUGUUCAUCACUGUUGCCUUGGAGUCAAUUAGCCUGGAAGAGGAAGGGCUCUGCUGAUCAGCACAGGAGGAAGAGAACAGAUGAGUAUGAUGAAUCUUGCAAAACACUUCAGGCAAAGCUUUGAGCCUGCGUUAUAAGGGUUUCGUCUGCAGCUGAAUGCCUAGUCUGGGGAAUAACCAUUCACAGAGGAGUUGACUCAGUGAGAUUCCUAGAGUCAGAAGGAUCAGAAGGGCAGAGCAGCAAGGUGAAAAGAAAUGCCAUGGCCGUCUUCCCAGACACUAAGGACUGUUGCAGAGGAGAAGCAAAUAGACUUGUGCAUGCUCAUGGCAAACGGUAUGAAAUACAUUUCUCUUGCUGUCCAUAUGGAGUAGAGGUUAUAAAUUCUGGCAACAAGUAUUUAGACUGGAGACUAGGAAAAAAAAUUGGAAUCUAAGUACCAUGAAACAUAGGCAUGGAUUGCCCAGGGAGGCUGAUGUAUUUCCAGCACUGCAUAUUUCUAGGUUUGACACUACAUCAGGGAUGACAUCAGGAUAUGAGUCUGAACUAAAGGAUUCCUUUUUUUUUUUUUUUUGAUGAUUCCAUGAUAAGGUUCAAGGCCACAGAAAAUCAUGGUGUAAUCAAAUAGUAUCAGUGAUUAAACCCAAACCUGUAGAUUGGAUUAUAGUACAGUAUAUGUGCGUGUGUAGCUCUUGACUCCACACCAGCAGAAUUUGGUCUGAUACAUAUCUUAACAGAAAAAAACUGGUCACAGACAGCAUACAAGGCUCAGAGAGCCAAAAUCACAGCAUGCAGAGAGAAUAAGAAAGGCAAGGAACAUUCUGCAAAAAUACAAACUUUAUUUGAAACAGUGUAUGUAUAUAGUGUAACAUCUUUCAUAGCGAUUAAUGUCUGGAAAGAUUAUCUUGUCUUAGCAACCAGUUCUAAAAACGGAGUGCAGGCUCACACAAACUUCAUCAUAUCACAUCCAGGAGGAAGUGAUUUUAUUACUGUGCAGGGACUUCUACUGUAUUCAUUACAGCCAACAUCAAAGAAGUGCACAGAACUAUGAGAUAGCAUUUCUUUUUCCAUAACAUUUCCACAGAUAGGACAGUAUAACUAGUAAUGUAUUCCCUAAGGAGAUAAAAAAAAAAAUCACCUCUUGAUAUUUUGGGGUUUUAACAUUUAAAAGCUCCAUCAUUUUCUAGGAUUUUCUGUCACUGAGAAAUGUUAGUAGCUGGAAAUAGUUUCUUUCUGCGUUAGUCUGCACUGCUCUAAUUUCCUUCUCCUCACGCAUCUUUCUCAGUUUUAAGUUUGACCUGGAUAAUGUCAUUAACACAUAUACCAUGUUAAAAAAACCCAGAGAAUAACAGCUUGCAUCACAAAAAGUGUGAUGGUAUCUGGCACUAAGAUACCAGCAGAGGAACACCAUGCUCCAGAUAACAGAGAGCUGAAUGUCACUUUUCAGCUCUUCUUGUCCACAUCUUUGGGUCUGACAAUUACAGGAAAAAAUGGUUUAUUUCAGGAGAGCAAAAAUUAGCAUUAAUUAUAACUGCUGAGGUAAUUUGCAGUGUUUCUUUAUUCUCUUGUUAAGUUUCCUUUUGUGAGGUGCUAGGAGCUGAAGUUUAUUGCCCAACUUUUGAAUCCAGAAUGCAGGCCUUUAUUUCAGUCUUCAU